AAUCAAUGAUGACAAAACUAAGGCUUGUUUCUCAAGAACAUUCGCAGUGGCCGCCUAAGAGCUUUCGCCACGCCAGGCUUGAGAGCUAAUGCUGCUUUAUCCUUCCUUGGAUGUCUGAGAUU
rfam:Prunus persica cultivar Lovell chromosome G6, whole genome shotgun sequence.